GGACUCCAGCAGACUGGUUACCAUCAGGGUCAGACACACAGCAAAGUAUAUGCCUGAGGAGCACAGAGCGCCGCGCUGAGACGGGACAAGAGGGACUCCAGUUUCCCCUUUGUCAUCUUUCCCCAGCUUUCCUACUUGGCUAGGACGGAGCUCUCUCCUCACAAUCCCUUCUCCCUUUUAGGCUGGGAGAGCGGGUGCUAUUCAAGAAAUGGAGCCCAGAGGACCAAACAAUUCCUGAACAAUGUUGGGCAAGAAGAGGAUAAUACGAGGACUGAGCUGAGCACAAAAUCCUAGCCUAAGAACAAAAGCUGGAAAUACAGAUAAAUAAAAGAAAACGCUAAAUACACUGAAGCAAUGCUGUAGCUUAAGAGAAGGAAAGGUAAGCUCAGAAGAAAAGCAUUAUCUGCAACUGCAAACAGAGGAGCCUCAGAGAAAAUAUCGGCUUGACUAUAAGGGACAACAUAGGAUGUCAUGAUUACACGAAGCCAGUUAAGAGGACGGCAAAAAAUAGUGAAAAAUGUUGGAGGGGAUGUGAGAAAAGUGAGACACACUCAUGUAUUAUUGGUGGAAUUGUGAAAUGAGCAAUGUUCUGGAGACAAUUUGGAUCUAUGCCCAAAGGGCUAUCAAACUGUGCACAUCCUUUGACCCAGCAGUGUCAUUACUGGGGUCUGUACCCCAAGGAAAUCAUAAAGAAGGGAAAAGGACCUACAGAAAUGCCCUUUUUAUAGUAACAAGGAACUGGAAAAUGAGUAGAUGUUUAUCAAUUGGGGAAUGACUGAAUAAGUUAUGGUAGAUGAAUGUAAUGGAAUAUUAUUGUUGUAUAAGAAGUGAUCAGCAGGCUGAUUUCAGAGAAACCUGGAGAGACUUACAUGAACUGAUGCUGAGAGAAAUGAGCAGAACCAGGAGAACUUUAUACAAGUUAUAUUUAUUAUAUUUGUAAUGUUACUAUUUAUACAUAGUAACAAAAUCAUGUGAUGAUCAACUGUGAUGGAUUUGGUUCUACUUAAUAAUGGGGUGAUUCAAGGCAAUUCCAACAGACUUGUGAUGGAAAAAGCCAACCACUCCAGAGAGAGAACUAGGGAGAUUGAAUGUGGAUCAAAGCAUAGUAUUUUCACCUUGUUGUUAUUGUUGUUUGUUUGCUUGUUUUCUUUUUCUCUCAUUUUUUUCUCCUUUUGAUCAGAUUUUUCUUGUGCAGCAUAAUGAAUAUGGAAAUAUGUUUAGAAAGAUUGCACAUCUUUAACCUAUAUUGGAUUGCUUACUAUCUGGGGGAGAGGGUGGAGAGAGGGAAAAAUUUGGAAUAUUAGCUUUUGCAAAGGUGAAUGUUGAAAACUAUCUUUGCAUGUAUUUAAAAAAAAUAAAAUACUGUUUAAAAUAAA